CCUACGGGAGGCAGCAGUAGGGAAUCUUCCGCAAUGGACGAAAGUCUGACGGAGCAACGCCGCGUGAACGAUGAAGGCCUUCGGGUCGUAAAGUUCUGUUGUUAGGGAAGAACAAGUGCUAGUUGAAUAAGCUGGCACCUUGACGGUACCUAACCAGAAAGCCACGGCUAACUACGUGCCAGCAGCCGCGGUAAUACGUAGGUGGCAAGCGUUGUCCGGAAUUAUUGGGCGUAAAGCGCGCGCAGGCGGUUUCUUAAGUCUGAUGUGAAAGCCCCCGGCUCAACCGGGGAGGGUCAUUGGAAACUGGGAAACUUGAGUGCAGAAGAGGAAAGUGGAAUUCCAAGUGUAGCGGUGAAAUGCGUAGAGAUUUGGAGGAACACCAGUGGCGAAGGCGACUUUCUGGUCUGUAACUGACGCUGAGGCGCGAAAGCGUGGGGAGCAAACAGGAUUAGAUACCCUGGUAGUCCACGCUGUAAACGAUGAGUGCUAAGUGUUAGAGGGUUUCCGCCCUUUAGUGCUGAAGUUAACGCAUUAAGCACUCCGCCUGGGGAUACGGUCGCAAGACUGAAACUCAAAGGAUUGACG
rnacentral:rRNA from 1 species